rnacentral:rRNA from 1 species
UACAGAGGGGGCAAGCGUUGUUCGGAAUUACUGGGCGUAAAGGGCGCGUAGGCGGCCUGCUAAGUCGAACGUGAAAUCCCCGGGCUUAACCCGGGAACUGCGUCCGAUACUGGUGGGCUUGAAUCCGGGAGAGGGAUGUGGAAUUCCAGGUGUAGCGGUGAAAUGCGCAGAUAUCAGGAGGAACACCAACGGCGAAGGCAGCUCUCUGGGCCAACACUGACGCUCAUGCACGAAAGCGUGGGGAGCAAACAGG